CAGAUGUAGUUCAAUGGUAGAAUAUGAGCUUCCCAAGCUUAGGACGCGGGUUCGAUUCCCGUUAUCUG
rnacentral:tRNA from 1 species